AAAAUAGAGGAACUGGUGUAUGCCCCACAACUACCAAAGACUGCAGGCCCAGCUCGCCCUCCUCCUCCUGUGAGAGCUCUUCGACCGCUGCCACAACGCCAGGGCCCAAACCCUCCUCCAUCGGCUUCCUUCGCUGAUUCAGGAACCACCCACUCCCGCCCGGAACCCAAUCAAAUCGUUUAGCCGCUCAUCAUUAUCCGCGCCCGAUGAUUCUCCAGUUCAACUCGUGCGACGCCGUGCAUCGUCGAAGCUGUCAAUCAUCACAACACAAAAAAUGUCCAGAGGCUCUUUAGAAGCAGCACAUCUUCUUGGAGAUGUGUUUCUUGAUCAUAUGCUGAAAGAGGAAAAUAAUCAAGCCAAAAGGUCUAAGCCACAUCCCACGACCGUGAAGUGGAGGUGAAGGGACACAAAUGGGAAUGUGGUAAGGCCACUUCGAAGAAAAACUGCAAAAACAUCAAAACUGAAAAGAGCAGCCCCUAAACAUGGUGAGACAGCUGAGAAUUUACAGUUAUCAUUUAAAUAUAUUGUUAUUUUCAGUUGUGAUUUGUCUUUUCUCCCUAUUUGAUAAAUGUUUAGCUAUGUGCAGUCUGUUUUAAUCUUCAAGUGCAUUUAUUUAUUUACAGAACUAGAUAUAAAGAACCUCAAAUCGUUAUGUAUUCACAUUUUAUUUUGUUUAAAGCUCCUUCCAGUGUACCCAUCCAAGAGGGAUUUGUUUAUCGAGCAGAAACUGCCUCACUCAUUGAAGAAUUGGAGCAUAUCCUUAAUGAUGAAUGUUUUCAGCCUGAAGAGGUGUCUUUGGCCACAGCCUGGCAGAAGCGGCAAUCCCUUAGCCAUGAAAAAUGACACAUUGCAAGGGAGUCCUUCAUUAUGAAUCUUUUGGAGGCUGAAUAUGUUCAGGAAUGCAUCUGCCAACACUGUCUAACUGCUGAGGCCAUUGUACGGUGCAGGGACUGUCUACCUAGGCAGUAUCUAUGCACCCUGUGUGAUGGAGAUGUCCAUCAGCACCUACCUCUUCAUAACAGGGAGUCUAUGGUCCAUGGGUUCUUUAAGCCAUUGUGUCCAACCACUGCAGUGAAGAGACAUUCUGAAACAUUUGAGUUCUCUGAACAGGGACUGUACAAUCUCACUCUUCCAUCUCUGGAGUGCUCAUGCUGUGGGAAAACAUGGACAGUGGAACUCAGUAAUCUCCUCAUGUCUGGGUACUGGCCAGCCUCUAUACAUUUUGAUACUGUAUAUGAGGCUGAACUUUUUAGGUCUUUUCUGGACUUAAAACUAUUCACUCCAGGUCUAUUCACAACAGAGUACAAUGGCAGGAAUGGUAAAAUAUGUGGAGACACAUUCCAUAAAGCCUUCUUGGAAUGGACCUUUGCCCAGCAUGAGGUUGAGAGGCUUUGUGGUGCCCAACCAUUUAAAUGUCCCGCUUGCAGUCCAUCCAUGCAUGCAGUCUCAGUGGAUGGUAACAGGAAGCUAUACAGGUUCCAUAAUGCACACGGGACAGAGAAGGGCUACUUCGAUGGCACAUUUAUAAUGAAAGAUGAUGAUGUUUCAUCCUUUGUGGAAUAUGUUCAUGAAAAGACCAAGCAUUCCACAGGUAAAGGGGUUUGUGGCUCCUCUCAAUGGACAGCAGCAAAGGAGUCAGCGAAAAAGUCAGCCUCAAAGAUUGAUGAGGAAGGCCUUGAGGUUGCUGUUUGCCGACAUGGAGGACUUUUAAAAGCCCUAAAUAUGUUUAGAGGGGAAAUAUUUGCUUAUCCCCUGUUCCUUCAAAACACCCUCUCGAAGGAAAAUGUGGCAUUUUUCUGUUCCGAUGUUGCCUGCAAGUACUGGCCAUACUUAAAGAGAGCGGUGGGACACUGUCCGGAGCUAAGCCCUUUAUUAAAUAUGCGCCCACUAUUAUCAGUUAUGCAUGCCAAAGCACAUGAGUGGAGUUAUGAGAUAAAAUGGUCCGGAAGAAAUCAAAAGGGAGCUGGUCUUACAAUCGGAGAAGAGGUGGAGCAGGUCAACUCCUUCUUGUCGAGAGCAGCAGUCUGCACUAAAUAUAUGUCCAAAGCUGCAUGUUCAGACAUGCUCACAGUUCUUGCUUCUGCAUGGAACAAACGGAAAUCUGAAAAUCUGGCUAAAAGUUUGUCGCAAAGAUACGUUAAGACAACCGAAAGGCUGAAAGUAGAAAGAGAGAGCUUUGCAAGUCUGCAGGCUGAGCUUAAUGUCAGCGACGAUAACAUUCAGCAGUGGGUCAGUGAUGUCCAGCAGUGGGCUGCAGUAUCAAGAGCGAAGGACGACGCUGGACUUGAGGGCAAAAUUCGAGGCCUUUGUCAGCAUAAAGCUGAGAAAAAGCAAUCUGUACCAUCAGACAGAUAAAAGCAACCUAUCAACUAAGAAGAUGGUCUUUGACCGGUUCAUGUUGCUUUCCCGACUGAAGGAAGAGGAGCAGAUCAUCGUGAUAGAGGUCAAGCAACACUGGCAAUCACUGAAGGAAGCUGAAUGUUCCCUGAGGGAUCUCUCUGUUGAAAUACAAAAUAACAACAGUGACUUCGAGUUAUCAGAGGGGAGCUCCAAUGGACUACUGUGCCUUCUCAAGAGAAAAUUGGAAGACCUUCAGUUUCAGUUGUUUUGCAGUGUGUGCCUACAUCUUACAUGGACGGGAAAGUGUAUAAGGAUAUGUUUACAUAUACUGUAGAUAAAGUGUUUACAUAAUACAUGUAUUUCCCCACUGUAAGCAAAAUAUUGAUCUACAAAAACAGUCUUGUAUUUUUAUCUCCUUGAUUUAAUCUCUGUUCAGGCAGAUUUUGUAUGAUAAUUCUCUGCAGAUAAUUCUGCAAUAUAUUAUAAGAAAAUAUAUGCUAUUCUUUGUUAACAUUAAGUGCAUUAAAUGUUACAUUAUGUCAGGGUUUCCCAGAUGGUGUUGAAAAGCUAUAAAGUAAUUAAAUUAAAUCAAAAUUAAAUAAUUUAAAAUA